rnacentral:lncRNA from 1 species
CUGAUCGACAUCAACAAACAUUUCUCCCCAACACCCAGGACACACAACACAUGAUGCCACAUCUGUUGUGUGACUCCCAUGCAGUCUCGUAGGUCUGUCUCGUCCCCUGGCAGAAACUUUUAUCUAUGGUGUCAGUUUUAAUGAGACCGAGCAUCACUUUCUGUAUUGGCUUCACGCCAGAGUCCGCGGAGCUGUGGGUGGGAAUGAUCGUGGAUCUAUCCGUUUUCUUCUGUUGGAGCGCUCGGAACAGUGGCGGGCACAGCCUACACCGGUAGCGACGCAGACGCAGUCCCGCAAUAAGCGAGAAAAGUGUAACUGCCUCAAGACAGACAGAAUGCGUGUUCUGUUGAGUGUCCUGUACCCGGUGCUUUCAAUCACGGUCUUCGGAUUAUAUCCGUCAAUGUUGCAGUGAUUCUGAAUUUGAGCCACCAAUGUCUAGGUGUCCAUCUCCCUCUGAAGCUGGUUCAUCCAGCCGGACCCCCGCUGUCUACGGCUCCACACCUACCCGGCCAUCUAGAGUUGUGAAGUCAGUGACAAAGAAGAGGAGGUGGGGAAGAGAGGAGACAGAGGGCCAGAGAAUCGUUGGCACUCUGUGUUAGAAGAUGAUGUGGAACCAAAUCCACCAGUUUUUAGACCCAAAAGGC